rnacentral:rRNA from 1 species
AGAGUUUGAUCCUGGCUCAGGAUGAACGCUGGCGGCGUGCCUAACACAUGCAAGUCGAGCGAGAAAUAAAGAAAUGAAGCUUCGGUAGAUUUUCUUUAUGGAAAGCGGCGGACGGGUGAGUAACGCGUAGGCAACCUGCCCUGUACAGGGGGAUAGCCACCCGAAAAGGUGAUUAAUACCCCAUAACGCAAGAGAUACACAUGUAUCACUUGUCAAAGAUUUAUCGGUAUAGGAUGGGCCUGCGUCUGAUUAGCUAGUUGGUAGGGUAACGGCUUACCAAGGCAACGAUCAGUAGCCGACCUGAGAGGGUGAUCGGCCACAUUGGAACUGAGACACGGUCCAAACUCCUACGGGAGGCAGCAGUGGGGAAUAUUGCACAAUGGGCGCAAGCCUGAUGCAGCAACGCCGCGUGAAGGAUGAAGGCCUUCGGGUUGUAAACUUCUGUCCUAGGGGAAGAAACAAAUGACAUUACCCUUGGAGGAAGCCCCGGCUAACUACGUGCCAGCAGCCGCGGUAAUACGUAGGGGGCGAGCGUUGUCCGGAAUUACUGGGCGUAAAGGGCACGCAGGCUGUGCUUCAAGUCAGCUGUAAAAGGAUGCGGCUUAACCGUGUUAUGCAGUUGAGACUGAGGUGCUGGAGUACCGGAGAGGCAAGUGGAAUUCCCAGUGUAGCGGUGAAAUGCGUAGAUAUUGGGAAGAACAUCGGUGGCGAAGGCGACUUGCUGGACGGUAACUGACGCUGAGGUGCGAAAGCCAGGGGAGCGAACGGGAUUAGAUACCCCGGUAGUCCUGGCGGUAAACGAUGAAUGCUAGGUGUGCGAGCAGAGAUGUUGGUGUGCCGCAGUUAACGCGAUAAGCAUUCCGCCUGGGGAGUACGGUCGCAAGAUUGAAACUCAAAGGAAUUGACGGGGGCCCGCACAAGCGGUGGAGCACGUGGUUUAAUUCGAUGCAAACCGAAGAACCUUACCUGGGUUUGACAUGUACGUAGUAAGAGUCUGAAAGGAUGAUGACGUUACCUUCGGGUAAUGAGCGUACACAGGUGCUGCAUGGCUGUCGUCAGCUCGUGUCGUGAGAUGUUGGGUUAAGUC